AGCGAACGCUGGCGGCAGGCCUAACACAUGCAAGUCGAACGAACUCUUCGGAGUUAGUGGCGGUCUGGUGAGUAACACGGGGGAACGUGCCAUUUGGUUCGGAAUAACUCAGUGAAAGGGGUGCUCAUACCGAAAGGGCCCUUCAGAGGGAAGAUUUAUCGCAAUUAAGGCGGCCCGCGCCUGGUUACCUGGGUGGUGAGGUAACGGCUCACCAAGGCGACGACCAGUAGAGGGUCCGAGAGGAUGACUCGACACACUGAGACUGGGCCACGGCCCCGACUACUACGGGAGGGAGGAGUGGGUGAUGUUGCGAAAUGGGCUAAAGCCUGACGCACCCAUGCCGCGUGAAUGCUGACGGCCUUAGGAAUGUAAAAUUCUUUCACCGCUGACGAUAAUGACGGUACCCGGAGAAGAAGCCCCGGCUAACUUCGUG
rnacentral:rRNA from 1 species